ACUAUAAUGCAGUCGAGCGGAUUGUUGGAGUGCUUGCACUCCUGAUGCUUAGCGGCGGACGGGUGAGUAAUACGUAGGUUACCUGCCCUUAAGACCGGGAUAACUCACGGAAACGUGGGCUAAUACCGGAUAGGCGAUUUCCUCGCAUGAGGGAAUCGGGAAAGGCGGAGCAAUCUGCCGCUUAUGGAUGGACCUACCGCGCAUUAGCUAGUUGGUGAGGUAACGGCUCACCAAGGCGACGAUGCGUAGCCUACCUGAGAGGGUGAUCGGCCACACUGGGACUGACACACGGCCCACACUCCUACGGGAGGCAGCAGUAGGGAAUCUUCCGCAAUGGACGCAAGUCUGACGGACCACCGCCGCGUGAGUGAUGAAUGUUUUCGGAUCGUAUAGCUCUGUUGCCAGGAAAGAACGCUAUGGAAAGUAACUGUUCCAUAGGUGACGGUACCUGAAAAGAAAGCCCCGGCUAACUACCUGCCAGCAGACAACA
rnacentral:rRNA from 2 species